rnacentral:rRNA from 1 species
AACUUAGUAAUUUGUUUUAUAUUUUAGUUCAUUAAGGAUAAGCUUAAUGAAAGGUACAGGAGAAAAUAUUCGCUUUAGGUUGCCUAUUUAGGCUUGAAAUUAGUCAUUGUAGCAGAACUUGUUAUAAAGCAGCUCUCUUAAAAAAGAAAAUUUUUAUAUUUUUCUUUCUGUAUUACAAUAAGGGUAAAGGACCAAAUUAAUAAGUCCAAUUUAUUUAUGCUAAAAUGAGUAUUAUAAACCAACAUAUACGGGUGAAUAAAGUAUUGGAAAUCCCUAGUAACAUGUAAUUUUAAAGUUAAAAUGAAAGGAAGGAAUUCGGCAAAUUUUAGCUUCGCCUGUUUAUCAAAAACAUGGCUCUUUGUUGUCUUAAUAUAGAGAGUCAAACCUGCCCAGUGAAAUUUUUCAACGGCCGCGGUACCCUGACCGUGCAAAGGUAGCGUAAUCAUUUGCCUUAUAAUUGAAGGCUUGCAUGAAUGGUUUAACGAGAGCAUUGCUGUCUCCCACUCAAUAAGUAGAACUUGACCUUUAGGUGAAGAGGCCUAAAUAUAAUUGAAAGACAAAAAGACCCUGUCGAGCUUAAAAACUAAGUUAGAAAUGGAUAUAAAAUAUUUUAAAUUUAUUACUAACUAUAUUUUUUGGUUGGGGCGACCAAGGAACAACAAAAGCUUCUUUUAUUUAUAUUAACUUAUAAGUACGGAUCCAGCCUAAAGCUGAUUAAAAGGAUUAGUUACCGCAGGGAUAACAGCAUAAUCUCUCUUGAGAGACCAAAUCGAAAGAGGGGGUUGUGACCUCGAUGUUGGACUAGAAUAU